GACGUAGGGCGCGAGCGUUGUCCGGAUUUAUUGGGCGUAAAGAGCUCGUAGGCGGCUUGUCGCGUCGUUCGUGAAAACCUGUGGCUCAACUACAGGCUUGCGGUCGAUACGGGCAGGCUGGAGUUCGGUAGGGGAGACUGGAAUUCCUGGUGUAGCGGUGAAAUGCGCAGAUAUCAGGAGGAACACCGGUGGCGAAGGCGGCUUGCUGGGCCUUACCUGACGCUGAGGAGCGAAAGCGUGGGGAGCGAACAGG
rnacentral:rRNA from 1 species